rnacentral:lncRNA from 1 species
CAAAAAUCAAUUAUUAACAAAGAAUUGUUACACAAAUGUAGUAAGAACCCAAUUUUGUAACAAAGAUAUUCCUUAUCUCUUUACCGAAAUCUGCAUAUCUUUAUAUUUUGAAACAUAAAAUGUUAAGGGUGUCUGCUCAAAGGACAGAAAUGUCAAAGAAACCGAAAUAUUAAGUAAAUGUCGAAUAAUUCAAACCCAUUUGUCUUUUAAAUUAAGCACAUGAAGAUAUAUCUUUUAGCGCAUAUACACAUGUACAAAUUGAUUUUGUAAAAAAUCACUGUCGGUCUAAAACUGUAUCGCAUGCCCAUAAAUGUCCUAAAGCUUUAAAUGUCAGAUCAUGAGGUCUGAAUGGGGAGUCAUUAUUUCUGUAUUCUAUAAUUUUAGGCAAUUUGUUUUAUAAUUCGUUUUACCUUUUGUCGAUCAUUCUUUAUUCCAUAUAUUCUAGUACCUCAUCAUUUUCUUUUCUAUUUGUCUGGUUAUUUUUUGUAUUCUUUAUUUUUUGUCUAUUUUCUUCUAUAAACCCCCAUUCACACCCUCAUGUAUAAUGGAAGACGAUGAACAUUUUGGUAUACAUACCACCCGUUGUCACUUUCACCUGACAUACAAAUCACAUAUUGUUAUUACGGCCCGUUAUUUCCACCUGGACACAGGACUUAUAUAAUAUAUAUAUUACGUAAUAAUAACGGAUAUAGUAAAUUCAGUAGAAUAUAACAUGUAUCAACGCACUGACUCCUUAAAUGUAUUUUGUACUGACAAUUGUAAAUAGUAUUUUUAGUUAUUUUAAAACUAAGAAUGAAAAUCGAGAAUAUGUCAAAGAGAAAAAAACCCGUAAAGAACAAUUGACAGCCGAAGGCCACCAGUUAUAUUUGCUAAUGUUUUAGUUUCGAAUAAGG